CACUGCGUGCGGUCAGAGAGAGAGCCGGGAGGAAUAAGCGAAGGAAGAGGUGGCGGGAUCCUGCGGGGCUGGAUUGGAGCACCGGUGGUGCUACUGCUGCCGUUGGACGCCGGCUGAAGGGACAAGUCCCUAGGUAAGGAAACAUCAUGUGUUGCAUCGGCACAUUUGAUGCAGAGUAGCUACUGUAAGUUCCUCUCCCUUCUCUAAUAAGCAUUGCGACCUCUCCCUUCUCUAAUUGGUAUUGAGAUUCAAUUGCUAUUCGAUGGAGAGCAGCCACAAAAAGUUCCUCAAUUGAUGCACAGCGGCCACCGAAAACAGAUCUUGCUUUCAAUCUCUAAUUGAUUCUCAGCUACAGAGUGGCAUGUAUCUAUAGACUUGCUAAUGUGAUGGCUAAUGCAUGUGUAUUAAUUCAUGAAUUAGCAAAAUAUUUCCCGUGAGAUGUGCUAAUAUACAAAUUUGAUGUUCACAGUGCCCUCCACUUUUUUUUGUUAUGCCUAUAAGAGAUGACUUUUUUUCAAUUUUUAAAUAGAAAAGCACAGUAUGGUUGCUCUUAUAUACAGCUUAUAAAAAGGAAUUGCAAAAUAAGAAGAGUGAUCUGUUCUACUCAAAACAAAAUUGCUGAAAUUCACAUGCAUGGUGGCGCCAUACAGCGAGCGCAUGGUGGCAGAGUUCACAAGCUAGAUCUUUGACUGGCGUUAUGGCUUGUCUUGAUGCAGAGAAGGACGGGGUUCAAGUUGUUGGGCCGGUGGCAGGGGCAGCAUGAUGUUUUCGUCAGGUAACAACCUAGGCAUCGACUCAAGAUUUAACUGAACCAAUUCCUUUAAUUCAGGCUCCAAAUCGUUGUUAUUUGAUUCACCAAUUGGUUGCUGGCAACAACUAAUUGGACAUAUAAUUGUUGAUUUCUAUACAAACAAUAUCUUCAGUUGUUUUCAGAUCUUCAAUAAGGAUCAUCAAGCCCUCUGUUUUUUAUAUGAAGAAUAGAUAUUGUAAUUGUGCCUCCAUUACGUCUAAAAGUCAGGUAUCGGAAAACUGUCAUUGGCAUAUCUCUGUCAUGAUGGAAGAUUGGUUAGACAGAAAAAGGACCUCUGGUUAUGUAUGACAUGAUGCGAGGCACAUAUCUCUGAAUGAAGCGCAACAAGAAUUGACAUCCUCUAAUGCUAACUGUUGACCAUUCUUCUCUGAAGUAUCAGAGGUGUGGAUUGGAAUCAGUUUUUUUGCUGCACCCCCAUUCCGACAAGGUCACGCACACAUACCACCGGGAAUCCCACGAACCCUAUGUUCGAGCGCGAGCGACGGCAAUAGCAUCUGCAAGUACUUGACCAACACGCUACCCAGGUGUGGUAUCCACUAUUGAGGCCAAGCAACCUAGCUCGGUCAUCCUUAAGUGUGCUUGUGUCCACCACCUGAUGAAGAACGGGAGAAGAUUGCUGACUUUGUGCCUAAUGAUGGUUGCCUGAACUUCGUAGAGCAAAUUGACGAGGUGUUGAUUGCUGAAUUUGGUCUUAAGAGGCACGUCGUGGGAGAUAUCCCUUGUGGCAGGUUCAAAGUUGUGAUGGUAUCUGGUGUCUCCCAGCGAGAUUUGUUCCUUCUCUUAACAGUUACUAUUAAGAACAAAUUUAUGUUUCCAGCAAAAAAGUUGGCCGGCCCCAGCAAAAAAAAAAGAACAGUUCCAGCAAAAAAAGAUCGCCGUCGUGGUCACAGGUGUCAACAAGCAGUCUUCGGAAUCAUCAAUAAGCCAACAGCGAGAAAUAAGUUUAAGAAUUGAGUUCCCUUAACAGGGAAAUAAGGAAGGGAAGAAACAAAUAGGGAACAAUCAGAUGAAGCAUCAAGGAAAAUGGAUUGAACAAUCAGAUGAAGCAUCCAGCUCGAGGAGAAGCAUGGUCUGCAAGGAGACCAAUCAUCUUGAGGUGGUUCUUUCAGCUACUGCAUGUUCCAUUACGGAGAAGGGUACUUAGUCGAUCUUAGGAGCCAGACUCUGCUCUCCUUGCAGGGAGAAUUUCAACAAAUGGUACUAUUACUCUCCCAACAAUUCUUUUAUCACUACAAAAUGUGUAGGAACCUUAUUUUUCCCUGAGAUACUGUAAUUGAGGAACCGAGAGCCGCGACGGAACAUUGUAUUUUGCACUACAUCCUGUAUUUGCUUUGUGGGAAGCUGGCUUGAGGACAAAUAUGUCAGCUCCAUUUUCGUUGUGAGUGAUUCUUCAUAUGACGGUAGUGUUGCUUGUGUUCAUAAUCAGUCUCUAUGUAAUGUUUCGGCAGAGAGAGUUGUAACGCCUCAGUCUUCUUGCCGAGUUGCAGAAUGCUGUUGUUCACUCUGCAAUAGGAUGGAUGAACAUGGUUUUCUUUAUUUUA